AAUCGAAUAUAUAUCUUAUAUCUUAACGACAUACUUCCGAUCCAUAGAGAUCGUCUUAUUAUAUUUUUCCUUACAAUUCAACAUUUUGGUGA
rnacentral:sRNA from 1 species